UGACAUGAAGUGCGCAUUUCGAAAAGCCAGUGAACGCAGCGUCAUACGGGCACCCCCACCCCACUCCCCCGGAAACCCUCGGAUGAACCCGCAGGAAGGCGCGCGGCUAAAGAACUCUUGGACAGCUGGAAGGCCGCAGGAUCACGGUGAAGGCCUCUUCUGUAUAGAGGACGUGGGCGGAAACGUCACGUGGUCUCCGCAGAGACUGGUCAGUUAUUUGGAGACAACAUGUACAAAUAGUUCCUGGACUGAUCUUCUGCUAACUUUGAGAUGGAGAAGCUGUCAGGUUCAUCUGUUUCAGGGUCCUGCAUGCUCUCCCUCCAUGUUGGCUGUAGCAGUGGAUGGAACUUGCUAAAUGUACUGUUUUGAGAGCCAACUGGGGCUCAGUGGUUAUUUGGAAGAUGCGUUUUUGACCAAAAACACUGUGGUGACCUCCUUUGUGAACUGCAUUCAUGGGGAAAUAGAAUAUAAUCCUGGAGAUGGGAGAUGUGGAGCAGGUAAGUUUGUGGCAGCACCAGAGUCCUCCAACAAGUCUUCUGGCAAAGUAAAUGAGGAAGGAUCGCAGUCUGCCAUCGUGGAGUUUUGCUGAAAGGCCUGAACACGUUCCAUCCAUGCAUCCAUCUUCUUCCAUUCAUCAGGAACCAGGUUGUGAGGGCAGCAGUCUAAGCAAAGAUGCCCACACUUCCCUCUCCUCCAGCUCCUCUUGGGGGACCCCGGGGCCAGCUGAGAGACGUAGUCUCCCCAGCGUGUCCUGGGUCUCCCUUAGGGCCUCUGCCCUUAUUCCUGUUGGAGUUUUUUUCUAACCCCUUAUGUUUCAAAAGUUUGCAAACAUACAUUUUGGUUGAAAUGAUGAGGAUCCGAGGAUGAAAUCAAGAAGGGACAACAUCAGGGAAAGGGACUGAACCGACUGAACCGACUGAACAGCUUCCUCUCUUCACCAGACACAUGUUCCGAGUACAUAUGUGUCAAAAACUGACAUCCUCGCCGUUCAGGCCGGUGGCUGGAACAAGCGGAAGUCAGAAAAGCUGGAGCAGACGUGACCAGAAUGAUACCUCCAGGACCAAUCAAAAUGACCCAGAGAAAAACACUGAAGGGCUUUGUCUGAGCAUCAGGAAAACAAGAAUCAGCUGUCAUCAACAUAUGGUGGAUAAAGGUGGAAAGAUUUCAUGUAAUCCAUGGACACCAGUGAAGAUCACAAAUUAUUGAAGAAAAAAGGUUCAGAGCACUGUCUAGUGGGUCUAGAUGACCCAACUCCCAAUGGUUAUGGUGCCAUGGUAAAGAACUAAAGGCUCUAUGAUGUCAUGCUGCUGACCAGACUGUGGUUGGUGAAGUCCAGCAGCACUGCAGGUCCUUGAAGUGUGGUUGAAGAGCUCUCCUCCCAGCUUUUGGAUGGUUCUGCCCCACACAGCCAGGAGGUUUCUCUUUGUGAUCUGCAUGGAUGUCCAGGGCUUGUGGCAUUUAUGUGUUUUCUUCUUCAUUUCAUUUUUAGGCAGCACAGAGUCAUUGAUGGAGAGAGAACAUGAGGGACUAAUUGUCUGCUGAGGAGGAGACUUUCUGCAGUUCAAGCCCCAGCUCCACCCCUAAAAAAAGGCUUAUAUGAAGGAAAACCUCAUUUCAUUUUUGUACCAAUAAAUGACUUUUAAUUGAAA